GCAGGGGUACCCGAGCUGGUCAAAGGGGCCGGACUUAAGCUCCGGUGGCAAUGCCUUCGUGGGUUCGAAUCCCACCCCCUGCACCA
rnacentral:tRNA from 1 species